rnacentral:tRNA from 1 species
AUUUACAUAGUUUAAAAAAAAUGAUACAUUUUCAAUGUAUAGAUAAGAAAUUUUGUAAAUG